UACAGAGGGGGCAAGCGUUGUUCGGAAUUACUGGGCGUAAAGGGCGCGUAGGCGGCCUGUUAAGUCGAACGUGAAAUCCCCGGGCUCAACCCGGGAACUGCGUCCGAUACUGGCAGGCUUGAGUUCGGGAGAGGGAUGUGGAAUUCCAGGUGUAGCGGUGAAAUGCGUAGAUAUCUGGAGGAACACCGGUGGCGAAGGCGGCAUCCUGGACCGAUAUUGACGCUGAUGCGCGAAAGCCAGGGGAGCAAACGGG
rnacentral:rRNA from 1 species